rnacentral:ncRNA from 1 species
ACCUUAUAUAGAUGUAGUGACGCAAGACAGUGACGCAUUUCCCUGCAAGGUGGUGUUUCAAUAGAAGUAUAAACGACAAGUCUUAUUGUGUAGCUCUAGAGUUGAAAUAAGGUGAGUUUAUAUGUAAUAGGUUAACCGUAAGACCUUGAAUUGAGAAAUUCUAAAAUUGAUUUCAAUAAUUUUUUAUAAUUAUUGAAUUACGGUCAG